rnacentral:tRNA from 1 species
UCCUGUAUGGCUCAGUUGGUAGAGCAUGGCGCUUGCAAUGCCAGGGUUAUGGGUUUGUUUCCAAUGGGGGAC